GUUCAUCUGGGGUGUUCGAUAACCUGCUAUUUUGAACCUACAUUUCAUCGAAGGGAAUCCGAUAUCCACUGGGGAAUGUCAAGCCUCCAUUUGAGAGGAAGACAGGAACCUGUAUGAGGAUACCCACCUAGCAUUGCUAGGCGUCAAAAUUUCAGGAACCGGCACAUCUGGAGACUUU
rnacentral:other from 1 species